rnacentral:rRNA from 2 species
UGGGGAAUAUUGCACAAUGGGGGAAACCCUGAUGCAGCGACGCCGCGUGAAGGAUGAAGGUCUUCGGAUUGUAAACUUAUGUCUUCAGGGACGAUAAUGACGGUACCUGAGGAGGAAGCCACGGCUAACUACGUGCCAGCAGCCGCGGUAAUACGUAGGUGGCGAGCGUUGUCCGGAUUUACUGGGUGUAAAGGGCGCGUAGGCGGGUUUUUAAGUUAGGUGUGAAAUACCCCGGCUCAACCGGGGAACUGCACUUAAAACUGGAAGUCUUGAGUGCCGGAGAGGAAAGCGGAAUUCCUAGUGUAGCGGUGAAAUGCGUAGAUAUUAGGAGGAACACCAGUGGCGAAGGCGGCUUUCUGGACGGUAACUGACGCUGAGGCGCGAAAGCGUGGGGAGCAAACAGG